CGUAAAAAAAAACCCUUAGCGACGAGGGAAAGAAGAUGGGCGUAAAUGAUUUGAUCACUAGGGUUGAUUUCAUCUGUAAGAAGUACGACAAGUAUGAUAUCGAUAAACAGAGAGAAGCUAAUGUCUCCGGCGACGAUGCUUUCACUCGUCUCUACUCCGCCGUCGAAUCUGCUCUCGAAACCGUUCUUCAGAAAACGGAGGAUUUGUCGUCUGAAGCGAACAGGGCAAAAGCUGUGGCGAUGAACGCGGAGAUUCGUAGAACGAAAGCUAGAUUGCUCCAAGGGAUUCCAAAGCUUCAAAGGCUUUCUCUUCAAAAGGUGAAAGGGAUCUCAAAGGAAGAGCUUGAUGAUAGAAAUGAUUUGGUUUUGUCUUUGAGAGAUAAGAUUGAUGCCAUACCAGAAGCCUCUGCUCCUUUAAGUGCUUGUGCAGCUUCAACUUCAUACUCCAACAUCAGAUUCGAUAACAAUGUCUCUGGUCACAGAAUCGACAGUGAAUAUUUCCGGCAAACUGAAGAGUCUGAUCAGUUUAAACAAGAAUUUGAGAUGAGAAGAAUAAAACAGGAUCAAGGAUUGGAUUUCAUAGCUGAAGGACUGGACACACUCAAGAACAUGGCUCAGGACAUAAACGAGGAACUUGAUAGACAAGAGCCACUCAUGGAUGAAAUAGAUACAAAGAUUGACAAGGCAGCUACUGACUUGAAAAGCACUAAUGUGAGGCUCAAGGAUACUGUAACAAAGGUGAUAACUCACACAUUAAUUCCUCUGAACUCGAGAUCGAGACCAGUCUCAUUCGAUAUAAACAAGCCCAUUGGUUUAUCUUUAAUUAAUCCAGAUGAGAUCAAGCCGUAACUUCUGCCUAGACAUCAUCCUCUUAUGCAUACUCUUGGGAAUCGCCACCUUCAUUUACAACUCGGUGAAGUAAAUGCUAAGCCGCUGUAUAUACAUACGCAUAGAAGCUUGUUUAUGUUAGAGUCAAAAGAGGGAAGUUUCACUUUUCAUCUGUCUACUAUACAGC